rnacentral:rRNA from 1 species
CCCUUAGAUGUUCUGAGCCGCACGCGCGCUACACUGAUAAUGUCAACAAGCUUUACCUUGGCCGAUAGGUCUGGGCAAUCUUCGAACUAUUAUCGUGAUGGGGCUAGAUUAUUGCAACUAUUAAUCUUAAACGAGGAAUUCCUAGUAAGCGCGAGUCAUCAGCUCGCGUUGAUUACGUCCCUGCCCUUUGUACACACCGCCCGUCGCUCCUACCGAUUGGAUUGGCUGGUGAAGCGUUCGGAUUGUGGGUUCGGAGCGGUUCGCCGUUCUGGGCUUGCGAGAAGUUCGUUAAACCCUCCUAUCUAGAGGAAGGAGAAGUCGUAACA